GACGAACGCUGGCGGCGUGCUUAACACAUGCAAGUCGAACGGAAAGGCCUCUUUCGGGGGGUACUCGCGUGGCGAACGGGUGAGUAACACGUGAGUAACCUGCCCUUGACUUUGGGAUAACUUCAGGAAACUGGGGCUAAUACCGGAUAGGAGCUCCUGCUGCAUGGUGGGGGUUGGAAAGUUUCGGCGGUUGGGGAUGGACUCGCGGCUUAUCCGCUUGUUGGUGGGGUAGUGGCUUACCAAGGCUUUGACGGGUAGCCGGCCUGAGAGGGUGACCGGCCACAUUGGGACUGAGAUACGGCCCAGACUCCUACUGGAGGCAGCAGUGGGGAAUAUUGCACAAUGGGUGGAAGCCUGAUGCAGCAACGCCGUGUGCGGGAUGACGGCCUUCGGGUUGUAAACCGCUUUCGCUCAUGACGAAGCUUUGUGUGACGGUAGUGGGUAAAGAAGCACCGGCUAACUACGUG
rnacentral:rRNA from 1 species